AUUGAACGCUGGCGGCAGGCCUAACACAUGCAAGUCGAGCGGAUGAAGGGAGCUUGCUCCUGGAUUCAGCGGCGGACGGGUGAGUAAUGCCUAGGAAUCUGCCUGGUAGUGGGGGAUAACGUCCGGUAACGGGCGCUAAUACCACAUACGUCCUGAGGGAGAAAGGGGGGGAUCUUCGGACCUCACGCUAUCAGAUGAGCCUAGGUCGGAUUAGCUAGUUGGUGGGGUAAAGGCCUACCAAGGCGACGAUCCGUAACUGGUCUGAGAGGAUGAUCAGUCACACUGGAACUGAGACACGGUCCAGACUCCUACGGGAGGCAGCAGUGGGGAAUAUUGGACAAUGGGCGAAAGCCUGAUCCAGCCAUGCCGCGUGUGUGAAGAAGGUCUUCGGAUUGUAAAGCACUUUAAGUUGGGAGGAAGGGCAGUAAGUUAAUACCUUGCUGUUUUGACGUUACCAACAGAAUAAGCACCGGCUAACUUCGUG
rnacentral:rRNA from 1 species